CACGUAGGGCGCGAGCGUUGUCCGGAAUUAUUGGGCGUAAAGAGCUCGUAGGCGGCCUGUUGCGUCCGCUGUGAAAGCCCGGGGCUUAACCCCGGGUCGGCAGUGGAUACGGGCAGGCUAGAGGUAGGUAGGGGAGAAUGGAAUUCCCGGUGUAGCGGUGAAAUGCGCAGAUAUCGGGAGGAACACCAGUGGCGAAGGCGGCCAACUGGUCCGGCACUGACGCUGAGGUGCGAAAAGCGUGGGGGAGCAAACAGGG
rnacentral:rRNA from 1 species